CAACCCGGAAGUAAUAGAAAAGGCGGUUCGAUUGAAAUGUUCCCUGGAGCUACAAGGUCAAAAUUCGAAUUGCCAGACGGUGGUUAUUGGCACUUCAUAGACUAGCAGUGGCCAGUGGAGUCGUGGCAAGAUCCCGUGUUGGUAGAGCCAUGCUUUAAACUUGCCUGGAAGCCCCGACUUAUCCACCGCUUUCAGCCAGGUUCCCAACUCCUCUGUUGUUGAUUUUUACGGAGGUGUGGAUUCUUUCUUCAUGAAAAGUUGAUGCCCAUGAUGAAGACAUCUUUCUUGCAUCGAUUGGCCCUCAGCGUUUGCUCUCAGCAGCACAAGGCAUCCUGAUACAAGCUGCACAUGCUGAGACUGUGCACAGUGCGGAGAAAUGAUACACCUUUUAAUUCCCCUGCCUGAAAGUUGGCAGGCAGUCCACCUACUCCCUUCCCUAUGUAGAGAGGUUCGGGUAGGGGGUGAGAGCAGAGAGCAGAUGUCCGUGUGCAUAUAGAUCUGCCAAGUGGGUCCAGAGCGCCGGGGCAGCCACAUAGACACAAGGGCCCCAAAUGGUGUGACAAAGGAUGUGCAGGAAGCCCCUCUCCGCCUGGAUGAGCCCCAGAGUGGGUGCCAGCCUUUUAGAGCCAGAGCCUUGUGUUCUUCAGCAGGACGAUGAGCCACUCAUGUCCCAGUACAACCAAGCAGUCAAGAUGUAUGGAAAACAACCGACAUGUAUGUCUGCAUAGGAUCCAGUAAGCAGGGCUGAUCCAGGAGCUCUUCUGUAGAAAACAACUAACUGAAACAUGUCGGACAGACGACAAGGCAGUUUCUCAAUAUUUUCAUGGAUUAAUGUUCACUGUGUGAAUGUUGUUUUGGCGCAGAGGCAAAAUUUUCCUUCGGUACGGUCCAGACUGACGACGCUACGGCAAGGCUGCCUCUCCGAGUCUUCUACAGUGUUGGACAUGUUUUUAACGGCUUGUUUUUCUGAUUCGCUGGAUGUCCUUCGCACUCACAUUCCCAAUUUCGUUGACUGGAGUGCAGGAUUGUGACGAUCUCUGGCUUUUGGGCUGUGGACAAUUACUAAUGCUAUGCUCAUCUGAUACUGUAACCACCUCACCAUAUUUGCUUGAAUUGUAUGCACAUGAUUAGGUAUGCCUAAUGUUGUGACCCUUGAGUGUUGAGUGUCACUCCUAAUUAUAAGAUGAUUGAUUCCUUUUUUCUUUAAGUUAAGUUCUAUUCAUGUGCACAUUGGAUGAGUAUAGAUCACCUUUCACACAGAAGAGAAAACAAUGCUUUAAUUAAGAGUUGGUCCGAUUUCCCUGAGGAGUGAUUGUCGUCUUCCAUUAACUUAGUUUAUCAUAUAAUAAAGAGGUUGCCUUGUCCUUCGUCACCCAGACAAUUGGUUUUAAUCAGCCAGCAGGCCUUUCAUGACUGAUAAUUUAUGCUAAAUUGACAAGAUUGUAGAAUGUCACAGGAAAUCAUUAUGACAAGGCUCAUGUCAGCGCCUGUCACCGUCUACUUUUAGCCAGCUCAUGGCCGACAAGUUCUUAAAUACGUAAAUAACAGUGACAGACCCUGAAGCUCUAUGUCCUGACAGCUUUUUUUUUAGUAACAGCUACACAAUUAAACACAAUCACAAGAAGAAUAUAAUAUGAGGAAAAAUCCAGUUUAUUAUGCAGUAAAUUUCAUGUACAGUAUAAGGACAAUGCAGCAUCCUCGUGCAAAAAUAACUUCAGUAUUGUAAAACCUCUCAAGUUAAACAUGAUUUGUUUUGUGACAGUGAAGUUGGGUUUCAAGUUAGGUUAAUUAAUUUGUCACUUGUUCCAAUUGGAACCAUCAUGAAGUCUUUAUUGAACAUGCAGGAAAUAUUUUAAGUAAGAUUCUAACAUACAGAAUUGUCAGACAAAUAAACUAAACA